rnacentral:rRNA from 1 species
CCUACGGGAGGCAGCAGUGGGGAAUAUUGCACAAUGGGGGAAACCCUGAUGCAGCGACGCCGCGUGAGUGAAGAAGUAUUUCGGUAUGUAAAGCUCUAUCAGCAGGGAAGAAGAAAGACGGUACCUGACUAAGAAGCCCCGGCUAACUACGUGCCAGCAGCCGCGGUAAUACGUAGGGGGCAAGCGUUAUCCGGAUAUACUGGGUGGAAAGGGAGCGUAGACGGCUGUGCAAGUCUGAAGUGAAAGCCCAGGGCUCAACCCUGGGACUGCUUUGGAAACUGUGGAGCUAGAGUGCUGGAGAGGUAAGUGGAAUUCCUAGUGUAGCGGUGAAAUGCGUAGAUAUUAGGAGGAACACCAGUGGCGAAGGCGGCUUACUGGAUAGUAACUGACGUUGAGGCUCGAAAGCGUGGGGAGCAAACAGGAUUAGAUACCCCAGUAGUC